rnacentral:rRNA from 1 species
GCCUACGGGACGCAGCAGUGAGGAAUAUUGGUCAAUGGGCGAGAGCCUGAACCAGCCAAGUCGCGUGAAGGAUGACGGCCCUACGGGUUGUAAACUUCUUUUGUCAGGGAGCAAUUGGGUCCACGUGUGGGCUUAGCGAGAGUACCUGAAGAAUAAGCACCGGCUAACUACGUGCCAGCAGCCGCGGUAAUACGUAGGGUGCGAGCGUUAAUCGGAAUUACUGGGCGUAAAGGGUGCGCAGGCGGUUG